CUGUGAAGCCCAGAACAGAAGAGGACGUCAUAACUCCACCUUACAUCUGAUUGUUGUGGCAGGGAAUUCAACAAUGAUAUUGAAUAUCAUCAGGUUGACUCUGGUGGUCUUGAUGCUGAUUCCUCUGCUUCUCCUGAAUCUGUGGACGAGGAAGAAGAAAACUCGGAGCUCCACCUCUGAACCAAAUGAACAUGUAGAGACGAUAGAGAUGCAGCUGAACCAGACUCACCUCAUGGAAACAAAGUAGGACAUCAUUGAAAUAUCACUGUAGAGAGCGAGGCUGUGGAGGAAUCCAUUUGCCUUCAACUCCAAAAGUUUUCCUUUUCAGUUUUCAGUAGCAGCAGCAGGGUGGAGUCAGCAGCGCAGACAGCAGCAGCAUGUAGCAGAAAGUUUAGAAGAAGGUGGUGUUGGCAGGUUGAACUGAAUCAUGUCGACAUUUCAGACGUGAUUUAUUGUUUAGAUCAGGUUGUCUGUGACUUAAUGUCUUAACUUACUGCUUAAACAAUGUGAGCGUAUUAGUUCCAGUAGAGUUAAAUAUUAGUUUUAUUACAUAAUAUGAGGACCAAUAAACAUAAUAAAUAACUUUUGAAAAUUCCUCAUGAGCUUCUGGGUUUGCACCUGUCCUGGUUGACAAAGCCAAUAAAGUCUGUUCAAAACAGAGACAGUGAAUAAAAGCAUCAUGACAUUUUACUCAAUGUAGGGGUAAACCAGUGCGAAAGUAACAAGGCAAUUUUCUCAGAGCGAGUGUGACAGAACCUUGAGCACACAACCCUUGAUGGAGCCGCCAAAUAUUGCAUGAUUUUGUCAUUGAUUCCCGUGGCCGUCUUCGGAAAACUGUUUUCAAGCACGGCAAGUAAAUUUCUGAAGCAGUACUGUUUUUCGAAGUACAAGUUGUGUCUCUCAUUUCAUGUGUCACAGUAAUGAUUAAUCUACAGGUUAUUUAGUGCUUUAACACACCCUGAAGUUUGCCCUGUCAGAGUUUUUCAGUGUAAGAAUAAAUCGUGUUGAUAUGUCAGGAGUUCCUGUCGGGACGAAAGUAACUCAUUAAGCAACAGAUUAUGCCAAGAGUGAGGGUCAGAAAGACAGAGGUCUAAUUCAGCCAGAUGUUUUCAUGCACAUUUUGAAAUUACGUAUAAAAACAGCUGGAUAGAAAUAGACUAUGUUUGCAUUAUUUUGAGAAUUUAAAUUUAUGUUAUGAAUAUUCAUUUUCAUAUUGUUCAUAUUGUUGAAGAAAUGUUUUAUAAAAUGGAUUGACUUUGCCAAUAAAAAAGAUUUUGAACAAGUAUACGGU